rnacentral:rRNA from 1 species
AUUGAACGCUGGCGGCAGGCCUAACACAUGCAAGUCGAACGAGUGGCCGACGGGUGAGUAAUGUCUGGGAAACUGCCCGAUGGCGGGGGAUAACUACUGGAAACGGUAGCUAAUACCGCAUACCAUCGGAUGUGCCCAGAUGGGAUUAGCUAGUAGGUGGGGUAACGGCUCACCUAGGCGCCGAGCCCUAGCUGGGCUGAGAGGAUGACCAGCCAAACUGGAACUGCGACACGGUGCAGACUCCUACGUGAGGCAGAAGGGGGGAAUAUGGCACAAUGGGCGCAAGCCUGAUGCAGCCAUGCCGCGUGUAUGAAGAAGGCCUUCGGGGUGUAAAGUACUUUCAGCGAGGAGGCGUGACUCGGAGGAGGAGCACCGGCUAACUCCGUGCCAGCAGCGGCGGUAAUAC